AUUGAACGCUGGCGGCAUGCCUUACACAUGCAAGUCGAACGGCAGCACGGGAGCAAUCCUGGUGGCGAGUGGCGAACGGGUGAGUAAUGUAUCGGAACGUGCCCAGUCGUGGGGGAUAACGUAGCGAAAGCUACGCUAAUACCGCAUACGAUCUAUGGAUGAAAGCGGGGGAUCGCAAGACCUCGCGCGAUUGGAGCGGCCGAUAUCAGAUUAGGUAGUUGGUGGGGUAAAGGCUCACCAAGCCGACGAUCUGUAGCUGGUCUGAGAGGACGACCAGCCACACUGGGGCUGAGACACGGCCCAGACUCCUACGGGAGGCAGCAGUGGGGAAUUUUGGACAAUGGGCGCAAGCCUGAUCCAGCAAUGCCGCGUGCAGGAUGAAGGCCUUCGGGUUGUAAACUGCUUUUGUACGGAACGAAACGGCGAGCUCUAAUACAGUUUGCUAAUGACGGUACCGUAAGAAUAAGCACCGGCUAACUACGUGCCAGCAGCCGCCGCGG
rnacentral:rRNA from 1 species